rnacentral:sRNA from 1 species
GCCAGGGGCAGUGGCACACACCUGUAAUCCCAGCAACUCUGGAGGCUGAGGCAGGAGGAUCACAGGGCCAGGCCAGCCUCAGCUACUUAGUGAGACCCUGUCUCAA